rnacentral:rRNA from 1 species
AUAACUUAGUGGCGGACGGGUGGGUAACGCGUGGGUAACCUGCCUUACACAGGGGGAUAACACUUAGAAAUAGGUGCUAAUACCGCAUAAGCGCACAGUCCCGCAUGGGACAGAGUGAAAAACAUUAGUGGUGUAAGAUGGACCCGCGUCUGAUUAGCUUGUUGGCGGGGUAACGGCCCACCAAGGCGACGAUCAGUAGCCGGCCUGAGAGGGUGGACGGCCACAUUGGGACUGAGACACGGCCCAAACUCCUACGGAAGGCAGCAG